rnacentral:rRNA from 1 species
CGUCCAGACUCCUACGGGAGGCAGCAGUGGGGAAUAUUGGGCAAUGGGCGCAAGCCUGACCCAGCAAUGCCGCGUGAAGGAAGAAGGUCCUCGGGUUGUAAACUUCUUUUAUCAGGGACGAAGGAUGUGACGGUACCUGAUGAAUAAGCCCCGGCUAACUACGUGCCAGCAGCCGCGGUAAUACGUAGGGGGCAAGCGUUGUUCGGAAUGACUGGGCGUAAAGGGUGUGUAGGCGGUGUAGCAAGUUAGAAGUGAAAUGCCUAGAGCUUAACUCAGGUGCUGCUUCUAAAACUGCUAUACUUGAGUGCAGUAGAGGAAAGUGGAAUUCCUAGUGUAGCGGUGGAAUGCGUAGAUAUUAGGAGGAACAUCAGUGGCGAAGGCGACUUUCUGGACUGUAACUGACGCUGAGGCACGAAAGUGUGGGGAGCAAACAGGAUUAGAUACCCCGGUA